UAUUAUGGCUGUCGUCAGCUCGUGUUGUGAAAUGUUGGGUUAAGUCCCGUAACGAGCGCAACCCUUGUCCUUAGUUACCAUCAUUAAGUUGGGGACUCUAAGGAGACUGCCGGUGACAAACCGGAGGAAGGCGGGGACGACGUCAAGUCAUCAUGGCCCUUACGAGUAGGGCUACACACGUGCUACAAUGGCCAGUACAGAGGGUUGCAAUACCGCGAGGUGGAGCUAAUCCCACAAAGCUGGUCGUAGUCCGGAUUGGAGUCUGCAACUCGACUCCAUGAAGUCGGAAUCGCUGAAAUCGUGAAUUCAGAAUUCACGGGAUACUUC
rnacentral:rRNA from 1 species